rnacentral:rRNA from 1 species
GGAUGAACGCUGGCGGCGUGCCUAAUACAUGCAAGUCGAGCGAACGGACGAGAAGCUUGCUUCUCUGAUGUUAGCGGCGGACGGGUGAGUAACACGUGGAUAACCUACCUAUAAGACUGGGAUAACUUCGGGAAACCGGAGCUAAUACCGGAUAAUAUUUUGAACCGCAUGGUUCAAAAGUGAAAGACGGUCUUGCUGUCACUUAUAGAUGGAUCCGCGCUGCAUUAGCUAGUUGGUAAGGUAACGGCUUACCAAGGCAACGAUGCAUAGCCGACCUGAGAGGGUGAUCGGCCACACUGGAACUGAGACACGGUCCAGACUCCUACGGGAGGCAGCAGUAGGGAAUCUUCCGCAAUGGGCGAAAGCCUGACGGAGCAACGCCGCGUGAGUGAUGAAGGUCUUCGGAUCGUAAAACUCUGUUAUUAGGGAAGAACAUAUGUGUAAGUAACUGUGCACAUCUUGACGGUACCUAAUCAGAAAGCCACGGCUAACUACGUGCCAGCAGCCGCGGUAAUACGUAGGUGGCAAGCGUUAUCCGGAAUUAUUGGGCGUAAAGCGCGCGUAGGCGGUUUUUUAAGUCUGAUGUGAAAGCCCACGGCUCAACCGUGGAGGGUCAUUGGAAACUGGAAAACUUGAGUGCAGAAGAGGAAAGUGGAAUUCCAUGUGUAGCGGUGAAAUGCGCAGAGAUAUGGAGGAACACCAGUGGCGAAGGCGACUUUCUGGUCUGUAACUGACGCUGAUGUGCGAAAGCGUGGGGAUCAAACAGGAUUAGAUACCCUGGUAGUCCACGCCGUAAACGAUGAGUGCUAAGUGUUAGGGGGUUUCCGCCCCUUAGUGCUGCAGCUAACGCAUUAAGCACUCCGCCUGGGGAGUACGACCGCAAGGUUGAAACUCAAAGGAAUUGACGGGGACCCGCACAAGCGGUGGAGCAUGUGGUUUAAUUCGAAGCAACGCGAAGAACCUUACCAAAUCUUGACAUCCUUUGACAACUCUAGAGAUAGAGCCUUCCCCUUCGGGGGACAAAGUGACAGGUGGUGCAUGGUUGUCGUCAGCUCGUGUCGUGAGAUGUUGGGUUAAGUCCCGCAACGAGCGCAACCCUUAAGCUUAGUUGCCAUCAUUAAGUUGGGCACUCUAAGUUGACUGCCGGUGACAAACCGGAGGAAGGUGGGGAUGACGUCAAAUCAUCAUGCCCCUUAUGAUUUGGGCUACACACGUGCUACAAUGGACAAUACAAAGGGCAGCGAAACCGCGAGGUCAAGCAAAUCCCAUAAAGUUGUUCUCAGUUCGGAUUGUAGUCUGCAACUCUACUACAUGAAGCUGGAAUCGCUAGUAAUCGUAGAUCAGCAUGCUACGGUGAAUACGUUCCCGGGUCUUGUACACACCGCCCGUCACGCCACGAGAGUUUGUAACACCCGAAGCCGGUGGAGUAACCUUUUAGGAGCUAGCCGUCGAAGGUGGGACAAAUGAUUGGGGUGAAGUCGUAACAAGG